rnacentral:rRNA from 1 species
UACGGAGGGAGCUAGCGUUGUUCGGAAUCACUGGGCGUAAAGCGCGCGUAGGCGGCUUUGUAAGUUAGAGGUGAAAGCCCGGGGCUCAACCCCGGAAUUGCCUUUAAGACUGCAUCGCUUGAAUCCGGGAGAGGUGAGUGGAAUUCCGAGUGUAGAGGUGAAAUUCGUAGAUAUUCGGAAGAACACCAGUGGCGAAGGCGGCUCACUGGACCGGCAUUGACGCUGAGGUGCGAAAGCGUGGGGAGCAAACAGG